rnacentral:rRNA from 1 species
UACGGGGGGGGCAAGCGUUGUUCGGAAUUACUGGGCGUAAAGGGCUCGUAGGUGGCCAACUAAGUCGGACGUGAAAUCCCUCGGCUUAACCGGGGAACUGCGUCCGAUACUGGUUGGCUUGAGUUUGGGAGAGGGAUGCGGAAUUCCAGGUGUAGCGGUGAAAUGCGCAGAUAUCAGGAAGAACACCCGUGGCGAAGGCGGCUCUCUGGGACGGUACUGACGCUGAGACGCGAAAGCGUGAGGAGCGAACAGG